rnacentral:rRNA from 1 species
UACAGAGGUCCCAAGCGUUGUUCGGAUUCAUUGGGCGUAAAGGGUGCGUAGGUGGCGCCGUAAGUCAGGUGUGAAAUCUCGGGCUUAACUCCGAAACUGCAUUUGAUACUGCGAUGCUUGAGGACUGGAGAGGAGACUGGAAUUUACGGUGUAGCAGUGAAAUGCGUAGAGAUCGUAAGGAAGACCAGUGGCGAAGGCGGGUCUCUGGACAGUUCCUGACACUGAGGCACGAAGGCCAGGGGAGCAAACGGG